rnacentral:lncRNA from 1 species
GCAUAACAUCCGUUCCAAUUUUUUUCCAAGUAUAGAGUUCCUUAUUGUUUCCAGCUCAUUAACUUUCCUCUGUCUCUCCCAGAACAACACAUCUCACUACUGUUUUGCAUAUGGGAGGCGUAAACAAAACCAUGACAUUUUAAGGCAUGAUCCCAUGGGGCCUUCAAGAAGUUUAUAUUUCACUAGAAACUCUGAGAAUCUUUUGCCCAGCUAAAAAGAACAUCUGUUUCCUCUUAGCAACUUUAAAUACACUUUGAUCCUGAUGUCUUUCAAUAUCACCCACACAAUGUAUUUGAGGUUUUCCUGAGUAAAAUGGGAGAACAGAGUGACAUUUGAGUUGGGGGCAAAGUGUCACUUUCCAGGAGACAUUUAACUAAAGCUUUUGCUCAGGAAUCAAAAAACAGUUUUAGUGUUGCUUAUUCUCGGUUCUUCCUUAGAAAUCGUGUUCUGCAAUAAUACUCAGCAUCUAUGUAGCAUUUUUAAAACAUUAAACAAAUUACUCCUCAACCAACCCUUUGUCAGGAAGUCAGGUCAAAUAUAAUUUGUAGAUGGAAAAACUAAAAAGUGAGCAGGCUUAAUUAGAAUUCACAUGUAUACUCCACACUUUCCAUUAUCCCUCUCCUCAGACCACCAAGAGUUUCCAUAUGUCAGCAUGAUUUUAGUCCACAUCAUCUAGUAGCAUUACUUCACAAUAACCAUCAAGUUCAAACUUAAAAUGUUCCACCAACUACAUAUUUUGUAUUCCUUUAUUUAUUAAUUCAUUCCAAAAGUAUCUAUUGAGUGCAGCGAAACCUUUUCAGCAUUGUAGUUCAUUUCCAUCAGAUUAAAUAAAAUCUAGCUCAGGAAUCAGAAAACUAUAACUACUGGAUAAUAUUUUUAUGAAUAAAGUUAUGCUGGAGCACAGUCACACCCAUUUGUUUAAGUACUAUCUAUGGCUGCUUUUGUACUAUAACAGCUAUGUUAUGACUGAAGCUUGAUUCAAUAGUUGUAAGAGAGACUGUAUGGCCCAUCAGCCCAAAAUAUUUAUCAUGUGACCCUUUACGGAAUAGAUAUCCCAACCCCUAUUCUAGUUCAGUGAUUUUUUUUUUUAUUGUUAUUUCCCCAAUACAAUUUUUUUCCUACUGUACAGCAUGGUUGACCCAGUUACACAUACAUGUACACAUUCUUUUUUCUCACAUUAUCAUGCUUAGCUCAGUGAUUUUUAAACACCUUGUCUAGCUGCACAAGGAUCUCCUGAGAACCUGGCUUAAGACAUAUCCUUCACCUAAGAGAUUCUGAUUCAGUAGGUCAGUGGGACGGGCACAUAGGAAUCUGUAUUUUUUAAAACCUCUUUCAGAUGAUUGGGUUGUCUAACUCCAUUUGUGGAAUGCUGUAACAGGAAAUACAUUUAAGGGUAUUCAAGAGACAGAAUUUUUUUAAACGGGAUGAGUGCCCAUGGGAUUAGAUAAAAGGAAAACUUCAUGAAGACAGUAAUUAUCUUCAAGUUUUGACCAAUUUGGGUUGACACAGGGAAAAUCCAGAACUUAUUCCAGGCAGUAGAGAAAACUGUAUGAGCCAAGAUAUGGAGAUGGGAAGGAACAAGGAUGGGGGAAGUGUACAGCCAAGAAACAGUCUAACCAAAGACAGGGUGUCACUGAGGAACCAGGGGAGAAAGGACUCCAUUUGUAUAGAGCUGGGGAUCAGAGAAAUAGAUGCCUUUGAAGGCAACUGAAGAACACUUUCAAUCUUAAUUAACGGUUCAAGAUCUGCAAGUUGCAACAGAGUUGAACCAGUCAAAUAGUGUAUCCCAAUCUACUUGAUAAUGAGGGAUAUUUGUAAUAAUGUGGCUAAGGGUUAGGGUACAGAAUUAACACUUCAGAGUUGAAUCUGCAACUUCAUAUCUUCAAAUUGUAAUAUGCAUCAGCAAUACUUGAAGGCUUGUUAAAACUCAGAAAGCUGGGUUUCACUUCCAGAAUUCUGAUUCAGUAGGUCUGAUGUAGGGCCUGAGAAUCUGUAUUUCUAGCAAAUCUCCAGAUGAUGCUGAUGGUUUUGGUCCAGGGGCCACUUUUUGAGAACAACCACUGUAAAUAAAUGGGAUGAAUGGCUGGAAAAGAAGAAUCAUAUAGUGUGCUUUGUCCUUCCUGCNNNNNNNNNNNNNNNNNNNNNNNNNNNNNNGAAGCCCACUCGAUGGCUGAUAGACAAAGGCAAAUCCACAACCUCUCUUCAGGUUUGAACUUUUAGAGAAUGGAAACCAACUGAAAUCACAGGAUUAUAAAUAACAAUAGAACUAAUAACAGAAUAGGCCUUAGAUAUCAUAUAGUUCAACUUUUUAUUUUAUAGACUAGAUGGAAAAACUGAAAAUCAGAGAGGUUCUGUGGCUUAAUUGCCCCCAGUUCCUAAUGGCAGCUCAUGGGUUUUGUUCUUCAGCAGAAACUGCAUAAUAAAAUCGUGUAAUAUUUAAUAUUAAGAAAAUAAAAUAAGAUUUAGUCGUUGCCCUCAAGUUUGCUAAACGGCUUACAAAUGGCAAUAAUACAUGAAUUCUGAUCAUAGUAACUGUACCAAAAACAAAAUCUGAAUUGAAGGAAAACCUGUAUUUGCAGAAGCAGACAAACAAUAAUAAUAAUAUUCAAGAUUAGAAAUCAUUUGGGGUCUUGACUAAGUAUUGCAAAACUUACUGUUAUAUUACAUAGAGCCUUUAAAUGGCAAACCAUCACAUUACUAAUACUGGCUAUAUUUAGUUCUUGACUGUUUCGCUGAAUUUUAAGUGCAAGAAAAUUGAAGCUUGAUUCAGGUUCAAGUCCUAGUCUCUGAUUAUGGGUAAAUGACAAUUCAGGUACCAGCUGCAAUUGAUUGAAAGUGUCAUAUGAGCAGAGAUGCUUUUAGCUGCCUCUGGGCUCCCAGGACACUUAGAAAUAAUUCAGAUAUGGUUUCUUAUCAGCUGGGUAUUAGCAGCCUGUAAAUAUGUAUCCCCAUUCAGCAUAAUGGGUUAUGACAGAAUAAAAGCCACCUGGAAAACAUUUAAACAUCCUUCUUCAAGAGGUUGUUUAGCUACUUUUUCUCCCAAGGGACAACCAAUCAACAAUACAUUAUUUCAGUUUGUUAACAUGUAGAAUGUGUCAGGCUUUUGUUUUGUUUCAUUUUCUGUUUGCUUUCAUUUGUUUGCUCUGUGCUCUUCAUUUGGCUUUCAAAUGUAGAGUAAAAAAGGAUCAGUUUCCUUGUCUAGCCUCAUGUCAGCUGUAGAUAAAAAUGAGUUAAUCUUUAAUGAAACAGAAAGUAAGUUAUAUAAAGGCAAUUUCCUUCCAGGUUUUAUGUGAUGGCUCUUGUUCAUUUUAUUGUGUUCACCAACCAAAUGGUUAUUUAUUCAUAUAUCCACCCAGCAUAUAUGGAACACUGAUACAUGGAAGGCAUUUUGACAGACUUAGAUCCUCCCCACCCUGCCACCUUGUAAUUAUUGGAAAAGGAGGAGGAGUAAGUAAAUACCACUCCCAUAACAAGCACAGUUUGGGUCCUAAUUUCUUUUUUGUUCUGUCUUGGUAUAGUUCCUGUACUCUGGGCUGGUUAAUCAUUUACAAAUAGUAUUAGUCUUCCACCAUUUUCAAAGUGUUAAAGGAUAUAAUAAUUUCUGAUAUAAUAAUUUCUUUGCUUGAAAAUUUUAGGGGAGUUCCCAUUGUGGCACAGCAGAAAUGAAUGCAACCGCUAUCCUUGCAGAUGUGGGUUUGAUCCCUGGGGGUUGGGGAUCCAGCAUUGCCAUGAGCUAUGGUGUAGGUCGCAUAUGCAAGUCAGAUCUGGCAUUGCUGUGGCUGUGGCAUAGGCUGGCAGCAGUGGCUGAUUCAACCCCUAGCCUGGGAACUUCCAGAUGCCAUGGGUGUAGGCCUAAAAAAAAGGAAAGAAAGAAAGAAAAAGAAAACUUCAGGUAUUAUGAAAUAUUCUAUAGUUUAAAAGUUAAAUACAAUUUUCUUCAGCCUGGUAUUUUUGAGGUGUUCUCUUUUUCUGCUGUUUCUUUCCAAAUUUGUUUAACCUUGAAAAAACCAGCCUUCACAUCAGGCCCAUCAAUGCAGUAACUCCUAAGCAUGUGUCAGAGAUACGUUUGUUACUGCCAGCUCUUUCUCUCUCUCUCUCUCUCCUUUUUUUUUUUUUUUUUUUUUUUUGCCAUGCAGAAGUCCUGGGCC